rnacentral:rRNA from 1 species
GAGUUUGAUCUUGGCUCAGGACGAACGCUGGCGGCGUGCUUAACACAUGCAAGUCGAACGGUGACCUCGGAGCUUGUUCCGGGUGAUCAGUGGCGAACGGGUGAGUAACACGUGAGCAACCUGCCCCCGACUCUGGGGAUAACCCCGGGAAAUCGGAGCUAAUACCGGAUACGAGACGCACAGGCAUCUGUUGCGUCUGGAAAGAAUUUCGGUCGGGGAUGGGCCCGCGGCCUAUCAGCUAGUUGGUGGGGUAGUGGCCUACCAAGGCGACGACGGGUAGCCGGCCUGAGAGGGCGACCGGCCACACUGGGACUGAGACACGGCCCAGACUCCUACGGGAGGCAGCAGUGGGGAAUAUUGCACAAUGGGCGCAAGCCUGAUGCAGCGACGCCGCGUGAGGGAUGACGGCCU